rnacentral:tRNA from 1 species
GGAUUAUGGCUCAGCGGUAGAGCGUUCGCCUAGCAUGUGUGGGGCCCUGGGUUCGAUCCUAAGCACCA